rnacentral:rRNA from 1 species
AGCAGCCGCGGUAAUUCCAGCUCCAAUAGCGUAUAUUAAAGUUGUUGCAGUUAAAAAGCUCGUAGUUGAAUUUCGGGAUUGACGUGAUGGUCAUGCCUUAAGGGGUAUGAACUGUCACAGUUGAUUUCUCACCUUCUGGAGAAACUUGAUGUCCUUUAUUGGGUGUCUUGCGGAUCCAGGACCUUUACCUUAAAAAAUUAGAGUGUUUAAAGCAGGCAUUUUUGCUCGAAUACAUUAGCAUGGAAUAAUAGAAUAGGACGGCAUGGUUCUAUUUUGUUGGUUUCUAGGAUCACCGUAAUGAUUAAUAGGGAUAGUUGGGGGCAUUAGUAUUCAAUUGUCAGAGGUGAAAUUCUUGGAUUUAUUGAAGACUAACUACUGCGAAAGCAUUUGCCAAGGAUGUUUUUCAUUAAUCAAGAACGAAAGUUAGGGGAUCGAAGACGAUCAGAUACCGUCGUAGUCUUAACCAAUAAACUAUGCCGACUAGGAAUCAGAC